rnacentral:rRNA from 1 species
UGAAACUACGCCUACAUGAAGCUGGAGUUGCUAGUAAUCGCGAAUCAGCAUGUCGCGGUGAAUACGUUCCCGGGCCUUGUACACACCGCCCGUCACACCAUGAGAGUUGGCAAUACCCAACGUACGUGAUCUAACCCGCAAGGGAGGAAGCGUCCUAAGGUAGGGUCAGCGAUUGGGGUGAAGUCGUAACAAGGUACC